ACAAAUAAAAAAUGGGUAUAUAUUAUAUCUCGCGGUGGAAAUGAACAGAGGUUCCGGCACGACGGAGCGCCGCCACAUUACGAGGAUGACUGUCUCCCUUACGGCCAAUAUUCAAACACUGAUCGUUUACUGAUGGCGAAAAUCUGUACUCCUCCUUAUCUAUUGCAUAAAUUAAAGCCCUAGAAAAACCUUGGCCACCUGCCACUGCCACUGCCCUACGAAGACCUAAGCUAGUAAUUCCUUCUUUGUUUUAGGGUGCUAGCUAGUCCAUUGAUACUGGUCCUCUCUAAUUUUUACACAUCCAUUGAAAUUGGUCUUCUGCUUCUUGAGUCUUUGUCCAUUGUUGCCCAUUUUGCUCUGUUCCAUCCUGAGAAUCAACAAGUUCUUCGCGGGGGAAAGAGCCCUACCAUACUCUACAAGGUGUGCGACCUGCCGUUCGUGUUCUUCAGCGACCCCGAACUGAUGCCAGUGUUGGCUAGUACCCUGGUUGCUGCUUGUUACGGGUGUGAGCAGAACAAGUCCGUUGUUCUGCAGGAACUAAGCAUAGACAUGCUGCUCUCGUUAUUGAGAUCCUGCAAAAAUAAUCCGCCAGUGUCAGCUGUGCAAUCCAAUUCAACACAAGAACGAUGAAUCAAAUGAAUGUAACCCAAAUGGUGUUGAGUCUCCCAGUAGGAAGGCCGACACUACAUAAGCAGCCAUCCAUCCAGGAAGAAGCAAGCUACCUUUCUUUGAUUCACCUUCUCGGGCAGG